rnacentral:rRNA from 1 species
UACGUAGGGUGCAAGCGUUGUCCGGAAUUAUUGGGCGUAAAGAGCUCGUAGGCGGUUUGUCGCGUCUGCUGUGAAAACUCAGGGCUUAACCCUGAGCCUGCAGUGGGUACGGGCAGACUAGAGUGUGGUAGGGGAGAUCGGAAUUCCUGGUGUAGCGGUGGAAUGCGCAGAUAUCAGGAGGAACACCGGUGGCGAAGGCGGAUCUCUGGGGCCAUAACUGACGCUGGAGGAGCGAAAGCAUGGGGAGCGAACAGG